UUCAGGGUUUCUCCAGUUGAAUCUCCUCCUCCUCCUCCUCUUUAAUGUUGCCCACAUCCUGGUAUGGGCCAUGUGCCUGGGAGCGUUCAAUCUGAUCAUAUGUGGACCAACAAUCGUCCAGAUUUAGCCCCUGGGAUAUGAGUUCAUUUAGUCUCUUUGACUGUGAGGGGAAGCAGACGUUGGUAAAGCUGUGAAAUGGUUCAACUUCUCAUAGAGAAGAUUAUAAAAAAUAU